CAUAAUGGCCAUCUUCAUUGCCAAAUACAUUGAGCAAUGAUUUUCUACAUCCUGAUAAUUCCUCUUGAAUGAUGAGUCAUGAUUUUAAAAAUCGGCUGUGAAAAACAAGUGACUCAGCGGCAAUCUAUUAACAGUCCCGGAGCCCAUCCUCUUACUGUUUAUCUUCUAGAGAAUGAUCUUCCUAACUAUGCUUAGAUAGUGUGGGAUCUUUGGCUGAGCUAAACCAGAAUUCAUGUUUGGAUGUGUCUGAUGCAUGAAUGAGCCUAGAACCAGUGAAUAGCGAGCUCUGCAUGAGGCUUCUGGUCAGCUCUAAUGACCCUCACCUGGAGAUCCUGCUUCAGGUUCAUUUAUACAAAUAGCACAGGAGGACACAAGCCCCUGCAGAUAGCCCCCUGACACAAGCCCAGGGGUCACACCAGUCCUUCUCUCCUCACAGCAGCAGAUAGAAGCCUCUACACUGGAGUCUUCUUUGGGGCCUGGGCCCCUUUAGGAGCCAGAGCCUCAAGAGCAGCCUGAGCCUUGGUUUGAGCCUUGGCCUUGGAAUUUGGCCGGCAAGCCCAUUUCCAGAGCAUGGGGCAGGCAACCACAGUUUACUCAGAUCUCAUCAAAGAGGUUCUGCCUGGCUGCCUUCUCCAAAACAACACUUCUCCAGGACAUGUCAGCCCUUUUCCCUGCUUUUUUCUUUCUUUUUUUUUUUCUUUCUUUCUUUCUUUCUUUCUUUCUUUCUUUCUUUCUUUCUUUCUUUCUUCUCUUUCUUUCUUUCUUUCUUCUUCUUUCUUUCUUCCUUUCCUCCUUCUUUCUUUCAAGAUUUAUUUAUUUAUUUAUUUAUUUAUUUUUUAAAGAUUUUUAUUUAUUUAUUUGUCAGAGAGAGAGAGAGAGAGAGAGCACAAGGAGGGGGAGCAGCAGAGGGAGAUGGAGAAGCAGACUCCCCGCUGAGCAGGAAGCCCGAUGUGGGACUCGAUCCCAGGACCCUGGGAUCAUGACCUGAGCCGAAGGCAGACACUUAACGACUGAGCCACCCAGGCGUCCCGCAAGAUUUAUUUAUUUUAAAGAGACAGCGAGUGCACAGAGGAAGGGCAGAGGGAGAGAAUCUCAAACUGACUCCCUGCUAAGCACGGAGCCUGACAUGGGGUCCGAUCCCAGGACCUUGAAAUCAUGACCUGAGCUGAAACCAAGAGCUGGAUACUUAACUGACUACGCCACUCAGGCUUUCCUCCCUGCUUAAUUUUCUCAACAGUACUUAGUACCAUCUGAUAGAUCAUUUAUGUAGGCAUGUAUGUAUUUUUUGUUUCUUUCACCUUUUCCUCCAGCAUAUAAACUCCUACAGAGCAGAAGAGUUGUCUUGUUCAUUUGUUUGUUUUGUGCUUUAUUUCCUCUGCUAUAUCUCCAGAGCCUGUAACAGUGCUUUACUUGGAAUAAGUGCUCAGCAAAUAAUGAAUAUACAAAAGAAUGUAUUUUUCUCUUUAUUGUCAGGGGGGUCUGGCUGGAAAGUGCUAGUACUGGCAAAUCAGUCAAAGAGAUUACUAAAGGUGUGGGCAUGGUGUAGCGCAAGUGCAAGGUAAAGGAACCCAGGAUUAGUCAUAGCAGAGGCUCCAUGAUCACCCCAGACCUGAAGGAGUGAGAGGAGAAAGCUGUGUGGAGAAGAGACAGAAGUUGCAGUCUUGGCACUCCAAAUUCCUCCCCUCUAGGACUGGCUACAUAAUUUCAGGACCCAAUAUGAAGUGAAAAUGCAGGGCUCCUUAACCCACAAUGGGACUGUAUUUAGAAACAGAGCUUUUAUGGGGCGCCUGGGUGGCUCAGUCAUUAGGCAUCUGCCUUUGGCUCGGGUCAUGGUCCCAGGGUCCUGGGAUGGAGCCCCACAUCAGGCUCCCUGCUCUGCAGGAAGCCUGCUUCUCCCUCUCCCACUCCCCCUGCUUAUGUUCCCGCUAUCACUGUCUCUCUCUCUGUCAAAUAAAUAAAUAAAAUCUUUUAAAAAAAAAUAAAGAGGGAAAUUAAGGUUAAAUGAGGUCAUAAGCUCUUAAACUAUAUAGAACAAACUGAUAGUUACCAGAGGGAAGGUGGGGGGGGGUGGGUUAAAUAGGUGAUGGUGAUUAAGGAGAGCACUUGCUGUGAUGAGAAUGGGGUGUUGUAUGUAGGUGUUGAAUCACUAAAUUCCACACCCAAAACUAAUAUUACACUGUAUGUUAACUAGCUGGAAUUUAAGUAAAAAUUUGGGGAAAAAAAAAAGAAAGAAAGAAAGAAAGAAAAUGAAGGGCUCCUUGUUCAAAAAUGGGCUCUUUAUUGUCAGGGGGGUCUGGCUGGAAAGUGCUAGUACAGGCAAAUCAGUCAAAAAUUAUUAAAGAUUUCAAGAUAGUAACAGUGGAACAUUAAGCCAAGCAUGAGGUCCUGCUAACAGGGGAUCCUGUGUGGUAACACAGGUCACAUGGCAAUGAAGUUGCCUCUACUCUCCUCCUUCCUUCCAGUCUAUCAUUGGCCAAAUCUGAUUCCAAAUCCAGAACUCAAAGAAGCCCAUUUGCUGAAUGCCUGAUUCCUGGGGACACAGAGCUGAGUAAAGAAGGUGAAGUUUGGAUCUGGGGAGCAGGAAAAAGAUAUUAAGCCCAGAUAAGUGUAGAAAAUAUGUAUCUCUAUAACCUUCUAUGUGUGCAUGACAGAGGGUGAAGAAGGUAUAAGACACUUUGGGAUUAGUCACUGAUGAUUAAGUAUAGGCACAUUUGCAAUAUGACUAAAGAAUAAAUACAAAUACUAAAUAAGUAGUAUUGAGAAGGAAAAGUAAAUAAUAACCACAAGGUUUCACAUGCAUCAUUGGCUUUGGGGUCUGGCCAACCUCUGUCCCAAUACUGGGCUUGACUUUUAGUAGCUGUGUAAUGAUAAGAAAAUCGCUCGUUUUUAUUGCUCCAGAGUCUGUAAAGCAGAGAUAACAGUUACUUCAGAAUUUGUUGUGGGCUAAAUUAAAGGAUGUCCCUAGCACCCAGUAGGUAUUUAAUAAAUGUCGGAGAAUAGAAGAAUAUUGAGGUCACAGACAGAAAUGGAUGAGUUGGGGAAAGGUCUUUCUAGUUCUGUGGAUUUCUGGAAAAAGGGAAGAGUUUGAGAACUCUGAUGGUUAAGAGGUUUUCUCUAAAGGCAUCAUAAAUGGCCACUUCUGCAGAGUAUAGCCAUUUUUCAGAGAAUGCUAUUUUAUUUCCCUGCUGGGCUUGACAGAAAGGAUAGAGACUUUGUAGGCAGGCAGAUGUGGUUUCACAUUCCGUCUCCACCAACGAUUAGUGGCAAGUUGUGUUAAGUCCUCUGAGCCAGAGUUUUCUGUUACAAAAUGCUGUAUCACUGUAAGAAUUUAUGAGAUAAUGUUGAUAGUGUACCAAAGAAAUGCUCAAAUUUCUAUCUGAUCUGCCACUCUUUUUCAGUUGAGCUAGACUUAGGAAUCAAUUUCUUUUUCCCUUCUUCCCUAAAGCUUAAAGCAGUCCCCAUCUCUAGCAGCCAGCUCUGUGGUUCUUUUCUGUGGGUUUCACCCUUGUCCCCUGGGCCUUCCUUGUCACGGAAGUCUCAGCAGGAGAGUGGAGAGAGGAAGAAAAGAACAAGAACCUGCAUUCACUUCUGCAGGAAAGCUCUAGUGCCUCAUUGGCUUUCACUCAGACCUGUGUUUAAACUUCUCCACCUUGGGAAUGAAGAAAGCAAAAGAGGAAGCUUUGUGCUUCCCUUCAGAGAGUGUAUGAGGCCUGACCAGAGGCCAUUACAAAGGCUCAUGGGGAAAGCUGUCCUCUCCACGCCAGCCUGGGUGCCCGGCCCGUGCACUGCGUCUCUGGAGGGAGGUAUAGGCAAGGACCCGGGCAGUCCUGCUCUUUGCCUACUAUCAUUCCUAGCCCUGGUGCCUUUAUUCCCAGGUCUCUCUAUGUGAGACCUUGGCCAGAGGUCCUCUUCCAGUGCCUCUGGAGGAGGCCUCCUUACCUGCAGGAGGAGGAGAAAGAAGCCCUCAAGAUACUUUCCUCCACUCUGAUUCAGUACCGAGUACUUUCUCACUCCUGGCCCUUCUCCCUCACCUCGUACUUUUCCACUCCUGGCCCUUCUCCCUCACCUCCACUUGACCCCAGAGUCCAUAGGACGGCCAGAGCCUUUUGUCUGGGGCUCCUUCAACAGUGAGAAACUCCACAUCUUUGCUGAUCCACCCGACUCUCAACUGGUGUGUUGUUCCAUGGGGGGAAAUGGACAGGGGGAGGCAGAGUUUUCUCUGGUUUGGGACUCUUGCUCAUAUCAUCACUGUAAGUGGUCAGAGCCUUGAUUCUUUCACUUUUGGCUUAUUGCUUUAGUCAGCCACCCUGGCAACAGGCAGCUCAGCUGUUUUUUUCAGCCCAGCCCAGUUCCUGACAAAUUUCAAGUCACUGUAAACCAAACGGUAGUUAAAAAUGAAAUCUACUAAACCAUGGUUUCCUUUCAUCAACAUAUGUGAAGUGCCUACUGUUUUCCAGGCACUGUGCUAGGCUCUGUGAUGCAGAGAUGAUGGGACCAAAGUCUCUGCCUUUGAGGAGUUCAUGGUCCAAAGGGGCCUAGAAGGUAAACAGUCCAUUUCAACAGUGUGGUAAGUGCUUUAGGGGCACAGAGGAUGGGCACUAAGGCAGAUGUUGGCGGGGGGGGGGGGGGGGGGAAUUUCCUUCUACCCCUAGUAAUUAAAUAGACACAAAUCAGGUUAACAGGAGAAAAAAAAAAUUUAAUUUAAUUUUGUAUAUAUGGGGGCCUCAAAGAUAUGACACCCAAGGUGUUUAUAUACCUUUUAGACAAAGAAACACUAAAUUUGUUAAGUCAGUCAGAGAAAGAUGAUUAUCAUAUGAUCUCACUCAUAUAUGGAAUUUAAGAAACAAAACAGAUGAACAUAGGGGAAGGGAGUGAAAAAUAAAAUAAGACAAAAUUAGAGAGGGAGACAAACCAUAAGAGACUCUUAAGCAUAGGAAACAAACUAGGGGUUGCUGGAGGGGAAGGGGUGGGGGGAUGGAGUAACUGGGUGAUGGGCAUUAAGGAGGGCAUGUGGGUGUUAUAUGCAACUGACGAAUCACUGAACUCUACCUCCGAAACUAAUAAUACACUAUAUGUUAGCUAACUUGAAUUUAAAUUAAAAAAAAAAAGAAAAAAGAAACAAUAAAUUUGCGAAGAACUGUCAGACAGAAACGUCAGCUUGGGUAAUAAUUAAUGAAGAAACCAAGGAGAUUUUGUUUACACAACCUUCUCCGCCCUCAACUCCCUAUCUCUGGUGAUAAAAAGGUCUCUUUACCUUCCCCGGGCAGGGAGGCUACCUUUCUCAGGAGAGAUUUAUUUCUUGCUUUUAGGGGGACAGAGAGGGGGAGUCAGAGUGUCCUUCUUGCACUGGCUGUUUCUCAAAUAACUUUCAUUCAAAAGAAUCAAUAUGCCAAAGUGGCAUAUUCUGGGGUGGCCCGCCCUGAACCCCAAAACAUGGAAGGGAAGGGCACGCUUCAAGGAGUCCUGCAAGAGAAGGUCGUAUCUGAGGUGAAUCUCAAAAUGUAAGUGAAGAAUGUGGGAGAGAUGUGAGAACAGAAGACCCCACUGAUUAGACAGCAACAGCUAACAGACCAGAGGGGUGCCCUCAUGUCAAGAGACAAAAACUAAAAUUUUAAUCAGGCUGAAUGACCGUGGGGAACAAAACCAGUCAGCACAGCUUGAGAUGACAAAUUUCACAAAAUUCAGCAAAAUUCCUGGAAAGACCCCUACAACACAUCUUAAUCACGCUCCCUAGUGGCUGCCACAUCCUGAGACCGCCACCAGAGAUAGUGGGCUGUAUCCUGCUUGUCAUGCACUCCUGCAGUUUGGCACCUGAGUCUGACCAACCCCGAUAAAGGGCACAGACUUUGUGGAUUUUUCCUGUUUAACCCCGACCCUAACCCUCCCCCUUUGGAGGGUACGUUUCAGUUUGUAGCCAAAGGCUGUGUGUCUCCCCACAUUGGCAGACUCCGUGGCAAAAAAAACUUGCCCUUGCUUCUGACCAACUCUGCAUUUCAGGAAUCUUUGUUGACCGAGUCCUAGGCAGUGGAAUCAGCACAAAAAAGGUCAUUAUCCAUAUCAGCAGUGAAAUCAUCAACCUAUGUUAUUGAUUGCCUCCUACAUAUCGUUCAUGGGAUGGGUUUUCUGCUUGGGUUUAGUUUUUUGUUUUUGUUCCUUUUUCUCAGAACACCAUAGCUUCCUUCUCACUGGGACGCUCACAGCCCAGUGGGUGGUGGCGUAGGGCAUGUACACAGGAAAAUGAAGCGGAUGAUCCUGGAGAACUUGGAGCCGUGUGAGGAGGCCGCCGUGUUUGUGAGGUGCACGCGACAGAGGCCUCUGGGGGGAUUCUGGCAAACAGGGCACUGUUUUGCUGUGGCGUUUUGCUGAAACAGGUCUCUGUGUGACGAUCCAGGUAUCAUUCCGCAGUAUCCUGGUUUUGUGGCCUGUAAGCCCAUUUCUUGGGCUUUUCCAGAGACGGGGGAAGUCCAUCACGUGAGGAACCCUGCUCUCUACCCGUUUUGUUCCCGAGCUGAACGGGUGACUGGGGAGUCUAGGGUCCCCUAGGAGCUGCGGAAGCCUUUGUGCAAUCCUACUCUUACAAAACAUCCCUUUUUUCACAAACCACAAGAUCUGAUUUAUUUGUUUUCAAAGAAAUAUAGAACUCACAGUGAUAAAUCAUGUUUUUUGGUAAACAAUGUAAAUAGUGAAGUCAUGCAUCUGCCCAACAAUAAGCCAGGAGCUCUAUCUUAAUACAUCAAAUAAUUUGACAUUGGAAUAAUCUCCACAAGGUUAAAUUGCAAUUAUUUAUAGGUAUAGGAUAAAAUGUAUUUUCACUGAGAUUGCAUUGUAUGGUAUAUGUGUAUGUGUAAGCACAUGCAUAAAGCCUUAUAUUCUGUAAAAGUACAGAAGAAAGAUAAUGGCAUCUUUAGCAAACGUGAAAAUGUGCCGUGACUGCAGAUACAAAGUCUUUCUCCAUGGGUUCUAGACCGGAAAUUCUUCUCUUUCUGGAAUGGUUAACUUAUCACCACUUGAUGGAACAAGGUCAUUUUCAGAACACAUCAUCCAACAUCUAUCUGGCUUAUCAUCUGCGGGCUGGAUAAAAAUGCGUGGGAGUCAGGCACAAAGGGCACAAUUUCCCACAUUACUUUUGUUAUUGUUCUUUUUUUUUCAGUUACCAAAAUAAAGCUAUAUGGUCAUUAAGCAGAUGCUCUCAGACAGGAAUGUAUUAGUACUAUAACAGCUUUUUUCAUAAAAGUGAAAAUCCUCUUUGAAUUUCCUUUGGUUGGUGAAAACAGGUAUGAAUAUAGGAGGUCUUUUGUAAAAGCAAGCAGCAUUAGCUCGAACUUUUGGAAAGCAGGGGAUACUCUUGUUACUUGUUUUAUCAACUCAGACGUUAUCUGACUUCCUACUAAGACAGAUGGAAAGUCAGCUCACCUGUAACACUGUCUUGUUCUCUUGCCUCCUUCUAUUACCAAGGGGAUCAGUGCCUGUAUUGGUCACCACUGUAACUUCAAACAGAUGUCACUUCUGAGUCCUUCAACUUAUAAGCUAAUUUUCUUAGGGUUUCACUCUUUCCUCUGACUUUCUUUCAAGAACUGAUUAAAUAUUUUGUAAAAUGUCCCUCGAUUUGAAUUUGUCUGAUAUUUUCUUAUGAUUAGAUUGAGGUUCUAUUUUAGGGAAGAAUAUCACAUGUGUGAUGGGACCCUCUCUGUGCAUCAUAUCAUGGGGUAUAUAAUGUUAAUGUGUCUUAAUACUGGUGAAGUUAGUCUUAAUCGUCUGAUUGAGGUGGUGUCUGAGUUCUGCUUUAGAUCACUAGUUUUUCCGUUGUACCAAAUAUCUGAGGGGAGAUACUUUGCAACUAUGCAAGUACUGUUUUUCUUUAAAUCUUCACCCAUCAAUUUUAGCAGUAAUUUCAGAUGCUGCCUGAAACAAUUAUUACUCUGGUGUUCUCCAAGUCAUUCUCAUUUUUCUUCAUUUCCUUUUUUUUUUUUUUUAAAGAUUUUAUUUAUUUAUUUGACAGAGAGAGACAUAGCGAGAGAGGGAACACAAGCAGGGGGAGUGGGAGAGGGAGAAGCAGGCUUCCUGCUGAGCAGGGAGCCCAAUGCGGGGCUUGAUCCCAGGACCCUGGGAUCAUGACCUGAGCUGAAGGCAGACGCUUAACAACUGAGCCACCCAGGUGCCCCAUUUUUCAUUUCUUCUACAUUUAUUAAUUGGAUUCUCCUCUAAGGAAGAAUUGUCUCUUCUCCAUAGUUUAUAUAUUUAAUCAGCUAUUUAUAGCAGUAUGGAAUCAUGGAUAUUUACUUUAUUCUUUAAGUUAUAAUAGAAAACUUCACUAUUUUUUAGUUGCUAAAUUUCUUCCAGGUUUGACUCUUGGGAGUUCCUUCAGUUGGUUGCUGUGUCAUUUUGACAUGACCACAACUUCUUUUUUUUGUCCUCUGAGCACUUCAUUACAACACAAAAUCCUCUAGGCUUACUUUGUAUUUUUCCUGCCCUCACCUUGAAAUCAAUCACUUCUCCAAGGAGCUCCAAUUGCUUUUGUGAAUGGGGUUUACAACCCAUAAUCUGGACACUAGUUAUGUUCAUUGCUAUUGGGUAUCACCACUUCUAGGUCCUAGCAGUUGGUUAGUAUAUAGACAUAUAUACAUCUAUCUAUCUAUCUACCUAUCUCUAUCUUAAAAAUCAACAUGAUUAUUCAUAGUGAUACCUCUGAUCCAAUCUAGCUCUUCAAGGGUAAUUCUAACAUUACCUCUUUAUUUAUAACUUCUUUCUCUGAAUGUGAAACCAGUUGUUCAUAUCUAAAAUAUAUUUCCUUAUAUACCCAAAUUUAGUAUCUGUUCAAAGGAGUUUCAAAAUUUCUAACCCAUCCAUGCUUUUCUAAAGAACAAACCAAUCAACUAGACCACAGUGUUUUGUACAGUUGUUUUGUUUUUAGCCUUACAACAUCUCAAAACACUGUUUUCCAAAGUUACUUCUGUUAGCUCCUUUCUUUACCACCUUCUUUAGUGAGAUUAUGCCAUUCUGUAGAACACAUUUGUUUGUCACAGUCUGCAUUCCAUCUUGGGUUCAAUCUACAUCUGGUUGCAUUUUAAAAAAACUGCUCACAGUAAAAGUCUUUCCUUUGUGCAACACAGUCUUGGCGUUUUGACAAAUGCACAGAAUCAUGUAUUUACCAUCACAGUAUCAAAUAGGACAGUUACAAGCCUGCCCACCUCACCCCAGUUCAUUUGUUCUAUCCUUUUGUAGUCAACCCCCCCUCCACACAAUUGGCAACCAUUUUCCCUUUGCCAGAAUAUCAUAUGAAUGAAAUCAUACAAUAUAGAGUCUUUUGGGUCUGGCUUCUUUCACUUAAGAUGUUGCAUUUAAGAUUCAUCCAUGUUGUCAUGUGAAACAGUAGUUCAUUAUUUUUUAUUACUGGGUAGUAUUUCAUUGAAUGGCUUUCCUAUUGUUCCUUGAUCAGUCCACCUAUUGAAAAAAAUCUCAGUUGUUUCCAGUUUUGGUGGUUAUGAAUGAAGCUAAUAUAAACAUUCAGAAACAUGUAUUUGUGUGAAUGUAGUUCUCAUUUCAUUUGUAUAAUUACAGAUUAGGAGUGGGAUUGUUGGGCCCUAUGGUAAAUGUUUAACUUUAUAAAACCUGCCAAACUAUUUUCCAAAGUUUCUGUACCAUUUUACAUUGUUGCCAACAAUGUGUGAGUUUCAUUUGUUCUACAUCCUUGUCAGCACUUGAUACUGUCAGAUUUUUAAUUUCAGCCAUUUUAAUAUAUGUGGUGUUAUCUCAUUGUGACUUUAAUAAAUUUUUACUAAUGACUAAUGAUGCUUUACAUCUUUUCAUAUACUUUUUUCAUUUUUAUAUCUCCU